GGGCGCAAGUUCGGUGCGCAUGCGCCCUGCCUACUCGUCCAGGCAAGAUGGCGCCUGUGGAGCACGUUGUGGCGGACGCUGGGGCUUUCUUGCGGGACGCGGCUUUGCAGGACAUCGGCAAGAACAUCUACACUAUCCGGGAGGUGGUCAGCGAGAUUCGGGAUAAAGCCACGCGCAGGCGGCUCGCGGUCCUGCCCUACGAGCUGAGGUUCAAGCAGCCCUUCCCCGAAUACGUGCGGCUGGUGACUGAGUUUUCAAAGAAAACUGGAGACUAUCCCAGUCUCUCUGCCACAGAUAUCCAAGUGCUGGCACUCACCUACCAGUUGGAAGCAGAGUUUGUUGGGGUAUCUCACCUAAAACAAGAACCAGAAAAGGUUAAAGUGACCUCAUCGAUUCAGCACCCAGAAACUCCUCUGCACAUUUCUGGUUUCCAUCUGCCCUCCAAGCCUAAAUCCCCAAAAGACACAGUAGAAAAAGCACACCCAGCCGGUGAGCCUGAGGACCUAGAAUUCAAUUCCUUCACGUUCUGGAGAAACCCACUGCCAAAUAUCGAUCGUGAACUACAGGAACUGCUGAUUGACAGAGGUGAGGAUGUUCCAAGUGAGGAGGAGGAGGAAGAAAAUGGGCUUGAAGAGAGAAAAGGCGAAGACAGCGAUGACGAUGAGGGUGGGUGGAUAACCCCCAGCAACAUCAAGCAGAUCCAGCAGGAGCUAGAGCAGUGCGACGUCCCGAAGGACGUGCGGGUCGGCUGUGUGACUACAGACUUCGCCAUGCAGAAUGUUCUGCUGCAGAUGGGGCUGCAUGUGCUGGCAGUGAAUGGCAUGCUGAUCCGCGAGGCCCGGAGCUACAUCUUGCGCUGCCACGGCUGUUUCAGGACAACAUCUGACAUGGGCGAGUGUUCUGUUCACAUUGUGGGAACAGACCUGAAGAAAGUGUCUGUGACCAUCAGUGACGAUGGCACCCUGCAUAUGCACUUUUCCGCAACCCCAAGGUGCUGAAUCCUCGGGCUCCGGUACUCACUUCCUGCUCCUAAAGGUGGCAAAUACGCCAUCACCCCAUCUCACCGAGGAUCAGCGCUUCCCUCAGCUGCGACUCUCCCAAAAGGCCAGGCAGAAACCAUGUGUUCGCCCUGACUACAUAGCCGGGGUCCCCCCUUCUGCUGAGAUGACAUCUCCAGCAGGUCGGCUACCCUGCAGGUCCGGGACAGCACCUAGGACUGGGAGGAGACGUUUAAAUCCAAUGGCUUCCAGAAAGAAUGUGAAGAAAAGGUGA